rnacentral:rRNA from 1 species
AGUGAACGCUGGCGGCGGGCCUAAUACAUGCAAGUCGAACGGAGUGGCGCACGGGUGGGUAAUGUAUGGCUAAUCUGCCCUACACUAGAGGACAACAGCUGGAAAAGGCGGCUAAUACUCUAUAGUGUAGGAUGAGGCUAUAUUGUAUCCGCUAGUUGGUGAGGUAAUGGAUCACCAAGGCUAUGACGGAUAACUGGUCGGAGAGGAUGCUCAGCCACACCGGAACGGAGACACGGUCCGGGCUCCUACGUGAGGGAGCAGUAGGGAAUAUUGCUCACUGGGGGUGACCCUGAAGCAGCAUCGCCGCGUGGAGGAUUAUCCGUUUCGGAGCGUAAACUCCUUUUGUUAGGGAAGCGGUACCUAACGAAUAAGCACCGGCUAACUCCGUGCCAGCAGCCGCGGUAAUUC